UGAACUCUCAAGUUCAUCAAUGAUCACUACAUGAAGCUUAUAUAUUUUGAUAAUUGCAGGUUGCACUGGAUAUCCUUCUACAAGUAUCUCAAAUCCAACGACUUCCUUUGCCAGGUAGUGGCCAUGGGGGUUGAGCUAGGUCUUUCCAGCUAAACAAAAGUGAAACACAUGAGAGUGCAUAGGAAAAGAAAGCUACUUUUGCCCUUCUACUGGAAAGAUUCACAUGUCGAGCACUGGCUUUGCAAGUUUGUGAGUUCAAAGUGGAGCUGGUCCAAAUGCAAUUGUGCAAUGACAAAAGGAAAAGAGAAAGCAGACAGUGGAAACAAGAGCAUGCUGAGCAUCUAUCUCCUCUUCAAGAUCCUUCUUGAUACUUGCAUCACACAGAAAUGCCAAAAAUGAUACUUGAAUGUGGCAGUGGAAAUGUCUAGAAAUGAUUUGAUCUGGGAGGUGGGUCAAAACCAGAUUUGGCAUGGCACUACAAGGCUCUUCUGCAAUGCUCUCUGUACCACCAGAGAAUGUGAAGGUUGGAUGAGAGACAAUAAUGCAGUUUGUAGAUGGCUGGCUUCUGCAUCACCAGCACAGUUAUCUGCACUGGUCCACCAGUUUCUUGUAUGAGUUGCAUAAUUUUCUUCGAGAAUUCAUCCUCAUGUCUUGUUAGUUUUUAUUGGUGAAUAAAUGAUAAGAAAUUAUGUAAAAGAUCAGUCAGUAACUUGUGUUCUUGAGCACUUGUUGAUGGAUGCAGAAACCAAAGUAGCAACUUCUUAGCAACAAUCAACUUGUCAUAGCAUCCAACCAACAUGAGAAAGUUCAGAUUCACCAAUUGGCUCAAUUUGCACAAGUCAUUCUCAGCA